CUGCCCUGGAUAGGAUAGAAGGUUCCUUUCUUCCUACCCCUUGGAGCCCUGUUACUAGUUCCUCCCAGGAGGAGAGCAGGUUUCCUGGUCUUGGAAGACUUGACUUCCCAUAGCCCUAGUUUAGGGGAGGAGCACGAGGUGGGAAGUUGUGGUAGAGGAAGGAUGCCAGCUUCACGGGUCCUAGUCUGGGUUCUGGAUCCCAGCCUCUGCCUUCUGAACCCCUUCUCGGGCAGGGACAUGACCUCUGUGCUGAAGCAGGAUCGGGAGCGGCUCCGAGCCAUGCAGAAGCAGCAGCCUCGGUUUUCUGAGGACCAGCGGCGGGAACUGGGCGCUGUGCACUCCUGGGUCCGGAAGGGCCAACUGCCUCGGGCUCUUGAUGUGAUGGCCUGUGUGGACUGUGGGAGCAGCACCCAAGAGCCUGGUCACCCCGAUGACCCACUCUUCUCAGAGCUGGAUGGACUGGGGCUGGAGCCCAUGGAAGAGGGUGGAGGCGAGCAGGGCAGCAGCGG
rnacentral:sRNA from 1 species